UACAGAGGAUGCAAGCGUUAUCCGGAAUGAUUGGGCGUAAAGCGUCUGUAGGCGGCUUUUCAAGUCCGCCGUCAAAUCCCAGGGCUCAACCCUGGACAGGCGGUGGAAACUGCCAAGCUGGAGUACGGUAGGGGCAGAGGGAAUUUCCGGUGGAGCGGUGAAAUGCGUAGAGAUCGGAAAGAACACCAACGGCGAAAGCACGCUGCUGGGCCGACACUGACACUGAGAGACGAAAGCUAGGGGAGCGAAUGGG
rnacentral:rRNA from 1 species